GGAUGAACGCUGGCGGCGUGCCUACUCCAUGCAAGUCGAGCGAACAGACGAGGAGCUUGCUCCUCUGACGUUAGCGGCGGACGGGUGAGUAACACGUGGAUAACCUACCUAUAAGACUGGGAUAACUUCGGGAAACCGGAGCUACUACCGGAUAAUAUAUUGAACCGCAUGGUUCAAUAGUGAAAGACGGUUUUGCUGUCACUUAUAGAUGGAUCCGCGCCGCAUUAGCUAGUUGGUAAGGUAACGGCUUACCAAGGCAACGAUGCGUAGCCGACCUGAGAGGGUGAUCGGCCACACUGGAACUGAGACACGGUCCAGACUCCUACGGGAGGCAGCAGUAGGGAAUCUUCCGCAAUGGGCGAAAGCUUGACGGAGCAACGCCGCGUGAGUGAUGAAGGUCUUCGGAUCGUAAAACUCUGUUAUUAGGGAAGAACAAAUGUGUAAGUAACUAUGCACGUCUUGACGGUACCUAAUCAGAAAGCCACGGCUAACUACGUG
rnacentral:rRNA from 1 species